CGGGCCCCCUGCAGCCCACAGACCUGCCGGGACACAGCACACACAACACACAGGUGUCUGAGGGUGCUUGUUUUAGGCAGAGGUGAGAGCUUCAGCCUGAGCGACAUGAGGAAAGAGUUGGACAGACCACGUCAUCACCUGCCCAGGGUCACAUCUACACUCGUAUCUCCAUCUAUGACUGCUGAUCCAACAAGGGCACAACGUGUACUUCCUCCACCCAGAUUUCUGCAUCUUAGUCAUACCAUCAUUUGGUUAUGCAAUUUCAUGGGGAGCAUUAGGGAAACUGUUUUAGCCCAGGAGCCGUAAUAUUCUGGAUGCUGCUUUGGGCAACAGGCACAGAGAGCAUUUCCUCUAUCAACACUUUAACACCACACAUGCUUCCGCCGUGAUGAUUCACAUCACUCUAGAGGGAAAUUCAGGAAACUAUUAUAAAAAUGCUGCUGAAUUUUUGCUGUUCUGUACUUUGCAUCAAACUGGUCUCAUUUAGAAAUUAAUCAAAGCGGUGAUGACUGGUGUGCAAGCAAAUUA
ensembl:processed_transcript